GGACGGAGAGCCGCGCGGCCGCAGAACGGCGCGAAAGCGCCCGUCCCGGGCCUCGCGCCGCGGGGCCGCAGGCGCGGCGGGCGCGCGCGUGCGGUGGAGAGCGCGGCGGAGAGCGCGGCCGCCCGGCCCCGGCGCGCAGCCCCGAGAGGGCCCGGCGCGGCCCGCGCUGCGUAGGAGGCGGGCGCGCGGGGCGCCGGCCGGGUUGUGUCACUUUUCCCGUCCACCCCACUGUUGACUCGUCCUCCCAGCGGGGCAGAGAGUUGGCGCGCUGUGCCAGACUUGCAGGGUUUUCCAAGCUAAAGGUGACAUUUCAUCGUCUCCCAACAUUGUACCUGAUGAUUUGGUGUUUGCAAAGCUGAGCACCGAAUUUCAUGUGUGUGCACUACAAAUUGGAUCUGCAGGUCCAGCCACGUCAGACCCCAUCAGCCACUCUUGUUCUCUGGACUUGCCUAAACCAUUCCAGGAAUUACCGGAUACCUGAUUGCAUGCAGCUGUGGGUGUCCCAGGUAGAGCGGGGAGGAGGGCCACAGAAGCUGGUUUAUGAGCACAGGAAAUGCUUAUUUCACGACUCAGACUCCGUGGCUUUGUGAGCGUCUGCUCUGCUCCCUCGGAUUAAGCGGCUGUAACAUUGCCACUCGUCGCCGAGGCUCCUGGUUUCAGCAUGUCUCCUUGGUUCCCAGCCAGUCCUGGUGUUGAGGUAGCAGCUGUGGCUGGGAGUGUCUCUCCAGCCCGCAUUCCUUGGCUACGAAUUUUGCAGCCCUGUUUAUCUGAUGAAGAUCUCCUCGUGAUGGCAGAGAGCUGAGCCGGGCAGUGCCCCCUCCCAAACCCAGAUGCCCUCCCUGUUCACCAGCCCCUCGAAGCCUUCACCGCCUUCACAUACAACAGGCAUUUAAAGCGUCUGGCAAGACUGCCAGUUAGGUAAUGCAAUUCAGGAGACGGCUUUCUCCACGCCAUGGGGAACGUGGCUCUGAGCAACCUUGGUCUCUUCAUCUCAUCCAAACAGCUCUUCAACCAGCAAAGAUGAAGAUUUCUUCCUCUCUGACUCCAGCCUGAAAACAAUCCCAAGCAUGAGUUGCAUUGGACCAACUUAGGUCACAUAUUCUCCCCCAAACCUAUCACAGCCAGGAAGACGGGGUAAUACGAUUGGUCCAACUGAGAGCACGCAUCCAUGCUUUUCAUUAGAAUUUUUUCCCAUGGAAAGAGAUGCAUUGGGCACACAAAGAUAGUAACCUUUAUCUUCUAUGAGCGGUAAUAGAAUAAUUAAUGUGUUUUUGUUAAAGUUGGUUUAAAAAGCCAAGAAGCUAGAACCUCAGGAUAGCUGGCUAAGAUUCCACAAAGUCUGAUAGGACAUGUCAUGUGGACUUUUCAGCCAAGAAAUGAAAACUAUUAUACUUUUGUCUCCCAGUGUGUUAGCUCAUAGAGUACCAACUUAAAUUUAUUUCUUAGUAUGCAGACAUUUUAAUAGAGAAAGUUACAAACACUUGGGUACUAUCUUAGAAAAAGUAGACCCUCUAAAGAGGGUGACUGAGGGCUGCACCACAGAUGAACAUCACUGUUGUUUGAAAACCUUCAGGGUGCUUUGUCCUGUGGGAAUGCAUUAUUCUAACACUUUGCUUAAUGUUUUUGCUUCCUGUAGAGUGGGCUGAGGAUGGGACCUCAAAACAGACAUAAAUUGAAUUCAAUAGUGGAUGAACGUCUCCUGAAGUCUUUGCCAGGGUUAUUGCAGACAUUGAGCUGUUUGCUUUUGGCCCCAGUGCUUCAGUGUCCACUCACUAUUAUAUUAGUGGGAGGACUGUUGUAUUGUAUUAGAGAUCUGGAGAGCUUGUGACGAGUAAAGAGUCAGUGUUUUGACUUUUUAUGCCAGCAUCAUCACUUCUGCACUCGUUUCACAUUUCUCCUAUCAGUUGGGCUCUCAAUUCAAGGUUACCUUGAUUACUUUCAGAUCUUGAAUCGUGAAUCUUUCUAAACUAUUUUUACCUCCAAAUGCCCUUGUCUUUUCACUGACUCACUUUUUCUUCUUUCUGUCUCAAAACCAGAGAUAUCCCUAACCUUUUCCAGCACCAAAUUCUUCUCUCUUUCACCUCCUUAGAAAACUAACUCCAUCCAUUACUUCAUCUUCUAUUUGUAGCUCCAGUUAUUGCUCUCUGACGCAUGUCUCCUCACUUACCUGCCUACAAUACUAUCUCCUUGAGAUACCAUCAAAAGGGGUAAUAUAUGAGGAAGCACACGGUUGCUCUAAAGUGGAAUAUAGCCAUGAUGGAAUAUCAUUGCUUUCUGAUCUUUCUCCUUCACUCCACAAUCUUCUAAAAAAAAAAGUCAGUAUAAAUAUUUCUUGAUUUUGCUUUCUUGCUACUCAACUCAUUACUUAUUAUCUUAAAAUCUGACCUCAUUCUCCUAACUCAAUGACCUGGGGUCCAUAUCAUUGCUUGUCUUUCUUCUAGCUUGUGACGCAGUCGACCAUGCCUUCCUCUUUUGGUUUCUAUAACCUCACUCACUACUUUGGUUCACCUUCUCUCUCUCUGACCACUCAUAUUUUAAUGAUCAUCUUAAAUGAUGAUCAUUAAAUGAUGGUCCCCAUCAUUCUGUCCUUGCUCUGUCUCCUCCUGCCCCCCUCUUUCUCAUUCUCAUAAAUACUUCUUGAAAGAAUUCCCAGAUCUCUCUCUUCACUUCAACUUCUUUGUUAAAUGCCUGCUGAAAACUUUAACCUACAUAUAUUAAUCAGUAGCACCCAGACACAAUGUGUGCUCAAAUCAACUCUAAUCCCAUCUGAAAUAUCUUCUGCCCUAUCUCAGCCAACAUCUCUACCAGUCACUUAGGCUUGAGGCCUUGGUUCCAUCUUGAUUCCCCUCCCUCCCCUAGACCUGACUCCAAUUUAAGCCAUAUUUUAAGGACACAUUUUCCUAUUCACCUGCCUUCACUCUGUCUCUUGUCUCUGCCUUCUCCUCCUUCAGGCAGUACGGUUCCAGCUGCUGGAGCAGCACACAGUCUAUUAUUCUGCUUUCAGUGAGGUUGUCCAGAAGUAUUUUGUGGCUCUACUUCUUCCUUUCUUCCUCAUCUUUUUCUGUUUCUGAGGUGAAUAACCCUUUGAACUUUAACCACAGAGAUCACUAAAUCUUCUACACAAGCACCCUUCUCAUAACCCCAGUGGACACUGAUGCGUUGAGAAUGGCCUGCAUAACACGUCUAAUUAGUAACGGGUGUAAGCUGACUAUUGUUUGUCAGCAGUGACGUGACAGAAAUACAUCUCACAGCCAUGUGUCUUACCAACAUAAUCUGCAUCUUCAGAUAAGUCAGUAUCUUCAUAUAGGACAACAUUUCGAAUGUAUUUGAUUUAGAAAGCUGAGGUUUUGAGGCUCUAAUGAUGAGCUAAUGAAUGCACUUUAAACAUACUGCUUGAGUUUUGAUGCUUUUCUAGCAAUCAUCAGAGUAUAAUUCCAGCUUAUGCGGACCCUCGUCAGGAACAUCACCUUCCAAUCUCUAACUUUAUUUCUGCUGAUUCUAUUAACAAAGAAUGAUUAAAGUCAACUUCAGUCUUCCCAGUUUCACCCUUAAAGACAUGGGAUGUAACAGCAGUGCACUGAGCAGCUGUGAAAAAGAAGAGGGAAGCUCCUUGCGUGUUACGUGGACUGAUCUCUGUGUGGACUGAAUUGUUUGUGUCUCCCCAGAGUCCAUAUGUUGAAACCCUAACCCCCACCCUCGCUGCCGUGUGAUUGGGAAGCAGGGUCUUUGGGAGGUAAUUAGGGUUAUCUGAGAUCAUGCAGGUGGGGCCCUCACAGUGAGAUUAUUACCCUUAUAAGAAGAGACACUGGAGAGCUUGCUGCCUCUCUCCGCCACGUGAGGAUGCAAUGAGAAGACGGCUGUCUGCAAGUCAGGAAAAGAGCCCUUCCCAGAACCUGAUCGUCCUGGCGCCCUGAUGUAGGAUUUCCACUAUCCAGAAAUGUGAGAAAAUAAAUUUCUGUUAUUUAAGCCA